rnacentral:rRNA from 1 species
UAAAUAGAAUUGACGGGGGCCCGCACAAGCGGAGGAACAUGUGGUUUAAUUCGAUGAUACGCGAGGAACCUUACCUGGGCUAGAACGCAUUCGGAAUCAGGCCGAAAGGCCUGCGCCAGCGAUGGCCGCUUGCGAGGUGCUGCAUGGUUGUCGUCAGCUCGUGCCGUGAGGUGUCGGGUUAAGUCCCAUAACGAGCGCAACCCCUACUGCUAGUUGCCAGCGGGUCAUGCCGGGGACUCUAGCGGAACUGCCAGCGUAAGCUGCGAGGAAGGUGGGGAUGACGUCAAAUCAGCACGGCCCUUACGUCCAGGGCUACACACGUGUUACAAUGGCCGGUACAGAGGGCAGCCACCCCGCGAGGGGGCGCGAAUCCCGAAAGCCGGUCCCAGUUCGGAUCGGAGUCUGCAACCCGACUCCGUGAAGCUGGAUUCGCUAGUAAUCGCGCAUCAGCCACGGCGCGGUGAAUACGUUCCCGGGCCUU